ensembl:lncRNA
CUAGGAGUCCCUGCGCGACCCUUUGAGGCUAGGAAGCUCCCUGCUGUCCUCCCCGCAAAGGGUGUGGUAUGCAGGCAGGCUGCUGCCACGCUGGAGGUCAAAGACCUUCCCCUUGUCGUGGCAGGGACCCCAGAAGGUCCUGAGGGCUUGACAGCAGCACCCGGCAGUGAGAGCACACGUGGAGACCUCGGCGCCCCAGGCACGACCUUGGGAGGCAGAGCAGGAACCACUCUAGGUCUUCGGAGUGAACCUUCUGGGACAGGUGUUGGCGGGAGUCCGUUUGCCACGACCCUGGAAGCUGGCAGCGUGGGCAGGACCUCAGGAGGCCCCGGCUUCACCAGUCCUGGGCGCGGAGCAGGUGAGUGGAGUUCAGAAGCCAGGGUCGCCUCCACCCACGCCAAAGCGACCGGCAUGGGGCCACGCUGCUGAUCACGAUCACGGUUGACAAGCCAAGGACACGUGAGCCCUUGGCUGGAGACUUGUGGGCCCUGAGAGACUCUGGCAGCAGGUGUGUACCUCUGCAUCAUGGUCCAGAGAGGCAACGUGGGACGGGACCGCUCCUGGGGAUUGAUGCCCUAAGGCGGGGCCGGCCGUGGUCUUGCUGGGUUGGG